rnacentral:rRNA from 1 species
AACUUGAGGACAGAAGAGGAGAGCGGAAUUCCACGUGUAGCGGUGAAAUGCGUAGAUAUGUGGAGGAACACCAGUGGCGAAGGCGGCUCUCUGGUCUGUAACUGACGCUGAGGCGCGAAAGCAUGGGUAGCGAACAGGAUUAGAUACCCUGGUAGUCCAUGCCGUAAACGUUGAGUGCUAGGUGUUAGGGGGUCCAACCCUUAGUGCUGCAGUUAACGCAAUAAGCACUCCGCCUGGGGAGUACGGCCGCAAGGCUGAAACUCAAAGGAAUUGACGGGGGCCUGCACAAGCGGUGGAGCAUGUGGUUUAAUUCGACGCAACGCGAAGAACCUUACCAGGUCUUGACAUCUUCGGACAGCCCAAGAGAUUGGGUCUUCCCUUCGGGGACCGAAUGACAGGUGGUGCAUGGUUGUCGUCAGCUCGUGUCGUGAGAUGUUGGGUUAAGUCCCGUAACGAGCGCAACCCCUGAUCUUAGUUGCCAGCAUUAAGUUGGGCACUCUAGGAUGACUGCCGGUGACAAACCGGAGGAAGGCGGGGAUGACGUCAAAUCAUCAUGCCCCUUAUGACCUGGGCUACACACGUGCUACAAUGGAUGGUACAAAGGGAAGCCAAACCGCGAGGUCGAGCUAAUCCCAUAAAGCCAUUCUCAGUUCGGAUUGUAGGCUGCAACUCGCCUGCAUGAAGCCGGAAUCGCUAGUAAUCGCGGAUCAGAAUGCCGCGGUGAAUACGUUCCCAGGCCUUGUACACACCGCCCGUCACACCACGAGAGUUGGCAACACCCGAAGUCGGUGGGGUAACCUUCACGGAGCCAGCC